ACGGAAGGCAGCAGUGGGGGAUAUUGCGCAAUGGGGGAAACCCUGACGCAGCAACGCCGCGUGAAGGAUGACGGUCUUCGGAUUGUAAACUUCUGUUCUUAGGGAAGAAGACAGUGACGGUACCUAAGGAGCAAGUCACGGCUAACUACGUGCCAGCAGCCGCGGUAAUACGUAGGUGACAAGCGUUGUCCGGAUUUACUGGGUGUAAAGGGCGUGUAGGCGGGAUAUCAAGUCAGUCGUGAAAUACCGAGGCUUAACUUCGGGGCUGCGAUUGAAACUGAAAUUCUUGAGUGUCGGAGAGGAAAGCGGAAUUCCUAGUGUAGCGGUGAAAUGCGUAGAUAUUAGGAGGAACACCAGUGGCGAAGGCGGCUUUCUGGACGAUAACUGACGCUGAGACGCGAAAGUGUGGGGAGCAAACAGGAUUAGAUACCCUGGUA
rnacentral:rRNA from 1 species